rnacentral:rRNA from 1 species
UACGUAGGGCGCAAGCGUUGUCCGGAAUUAUUGGGCGUAAAGAGCUCGUAGGCGGUCUGUCGCGUCGAUCGUGAAAACUUGGGGCUUAACCCUGAGCUUGCGGGCGAUACGGGCAGACUUGAGUACUGCAGGGGAGACUGGAAUUCCUGGUGUAGCGGUGAAAUGCGCAGAUAUCAGGAGGAACACCGGUGGCGAAGGCGGGUCUCUGGGCCGUAACUGACGCUGAGGAGCGAAAGCGUGGGGAGCGAACAGG